UUUUUUUUUUUUUUUUUGGUCUUUUUAGGGCCACACCCAUGACAUAUGGAGGUUCCCAGGUUAAGGGUCAAAUCAGAGCUGUAGCCACCAGCCUACACCACAGCCACAGCAAUGCCAGAUCCAAGCCUCAUCUGCAACCCACACCACAGCUCACAGCAAUGCUGGAUCUUUAACACAUUGAGCGAGGCGAGGGAUCAAACCUGUGUCCUCAUGGUUACCAGUCAGAUUCGUUUCUGCUGAGCCAUGAUAGGAACUCCUAGACAUCCUUUUAAAAGAGAACUUAGAGCAUCUAUCUCCUCCCUCUAGGAUCUCUCACUCUUGGAACACUUCUUCUUGGAACUCAGCCACCAUGCUGAGAAAAGCCCAAGCCACAUUCAUGGGAAACCUGUGGCUGUUCCAGCUGACAGUCUCAGAUGAACUCACAGCCACUAGCCAGCAUCAAAUGCCAGCCAUGUGAACCAGCCAUCUUGGCCCUCUAGCACAUUUGAGCCUACACUUGAUGCAGUCAAAACUGAUACUAUGAAGUAAGAAAGCCAUGCGGCCUUAGCCCAGUCAACACCAACAUUAGUGAGAAAUAAUAAAAUAGUUGUAAUUUUAAGCCACUAAAUUUUUGAGUGGUUUGUUAUGCAACAAUAAGUAACUGAAAUAGAAGUCUUCCCUGCAUAGGUGGUAGUGAAGCCACUAGAAUGGAUGAGACUUAAUAGGCAAGUAUGUGACAUGAAAGAAAAGAGGCUUAGAAUAGAAUCUUAGAAACUUCAAAACUGCUAGUGAGGAAUGAACACAGCAGCAAAGUCUGGGAAAUAUGUUCAUAAAGGUAAAAGGGGAUGGAGGAGAUUGUCAGUGACCUGUAAGCCAGUGGAAAAGAGAGAAGCCACAGAGGUUAGUGCUAAUGAGAGAUCAAAUGAUAUACAGCUGAUAAUUGCUUGUUACAUUUAAUGACAUGGAAGUCAAAGGUGGCCUUAGCAAAAAUAGAUUUGCAAACUGAUAGGGAAGAAGCUAGAUUAUUAGAGGUAGAGGGAGUUGAAGAGUAAAUGAGUAGAGAGAAGAUACAUGGAAAGAUUUAAAUUGCUUUUAAAUGCUGAUGGGAAGGACAAGAGUAUAAAAAAAUCAGAGUAAGAGAAAAAUACAGGUGAGUAAUAUUUUACUCUUUCCAGAAAAGCUCUUCAAACCACAGAACAUCCAUUUAGGCACUAUCUAUGUCCAUUGUCCAAACACACAGUAACCUCAAAAUAACAUUUGUUACAAAGCAGACUUUGUAAUAAUGUAGGUGCAUCAUGGACCCAAAAGAAAUUAUUUACUGACCUAUGAAAAUGACCUUGUUAAAAAUCAUGUCCUGAAAUCAAGAGUGGAAAUUUAACCUUAAUAUUUCAUAGCUCAAAAGACUAUCAUUUUUAAUUUUAGGCAAAUUCUUUCUUCUAAGAUGGACAGUGAAAUUUAUCUUUUGAGUAGACCAUCCCUUUUGGGGGUAAGAAUUAUUGGAGUACAAUUAAAACUGUGAAAAAUACUUACUGGUAUGAAAGAGUGUACCAAUUUUUUUGCUUGACAGGCUUCUAAGGAAUAUUGUGGAUACAUAAGAUUGUGGGUAAAGUUAGAUGAUGCUCUUCUUAAAUAUAUGUCUGUUUGUCCAUGAAUUUACACACACAGAAGAGCCUCCUGAGAGCAGAAUGGCUUUUACUCUGGGUCUUUGUUUGGAUGUUUCAAAGAUGUGAAAUCUUGCCUAAUAGAAUGUGUUGCUGUAAUCAAGUAAGAUUAAGGAGUAGCAACGUAAAAUAGCACUGAAAGAAAAGGAAGAUUCUUAGCUAGUGACUUGGGCUCAACAUCAGAAGAGUGUGGCAAGAGAAUUUCCUGAUAACAGCAUAUGUCAUGAUUCAAGAAGCCGUCUUGACCCAGAUACCCAGUACAAGGGGAUGGAGCUUGUCAAAAACCAGCAAGUUGUUCUUCAGGAUGAGGGCAGUUUUCCUAGAAAAAUCCUCACUGACAAAGAUUCACCCUCCACUGCUCCUUCAGAUUCUCUGCAGUCUGAGGAAAUCAGUAUGCUUAAACUUGGGAAGUUGGGUGAGUCAGGCAUAUGGCCCACGUUUUUUUUUCUACAUCCCUUGACUAUUUUAACUGCUUAAAUUGCACUUCAUCCCUUGGUCAGAAUUUUCUUUGCUGACCUGUUUUCUUCUUAAAUCAGUCUUUCAGGAAGUUAGCCAAACAGGGAAUUUUCAUCCUGUUCUCUUCCCACUUUCAGAACUUGGGACUUUCCUUUUUCAGGAAACCAUAAAGAAAAGGAUAAGUAAACUUCUAAGACCAGUUAACAAGACCACAUAUGAUAACUUGUUUCUAAGAUAUUCUUAUGAGGCAAAAGCACAAAUCAGAACAGAAUUUUUUAUAAUGCAUAAGCAACACCUGUUCAAUUGCAACUUGUUGCAGCUGGAAGAAAGUAAGCAAAGGGAAAAUGGACAAAGUAACUCUUUCAAAAAUUAAGAUAUCCUUUCAUUGAUUUCUACCCUAGCAGAACAAAUCAGGAAGCUACCAUAAGCUCAGUCAGUCUCCAAAAUACACCUCUGUGCUGGCUUAGCUCCUGCAAAGUACUACCCUCUCUAAACAACAUCAAUAUUUUGACAAUAAUUGUCUUUUCAAAGGUAUAAUACUGCAUGCAUCAAAACUUAUGUGCUAGAGAGCAAUACUUGACCACUUAACUAAGCACUAAAAGACUUUAGUUUUGUGUUCUAAUUGUUAACAUUCAUCAAACACAACAAAUACAAAAAAAAAAGAGAAAAAAAGAAAAAAAAAUAAAAGACAGCAAUACCAAAAAUGCCGUCUGGAUUUUUUAGCACCAAAUCAUCAAUAAUAAAAUUUCAAAAUAUUAACCAAAUGCUUUCAAAUUAAAAUUAAGCCAACCAACUUCCAAAUUGCAGAAGGUAUAUAAUUAGAGUAGAUCUUAACUAACGGGGAUUUUGCCUCUCAUGGGACAUUUGGCAAUAUCAUUUGUUUGUCACAACUCGAGAAAGGGAUGCUACUGGCAUCAAGUGAGUAGAGACCCAGGGAUGCUGUUAAAUAUCUUCCAAAACACAUACCAGCCUCCUACAACAAAGAAUGAACUAAAACAUAUAUGGGCCAUAUUUGAGAAAUGCUGAAUUACAGUUGUCAUAAGUUCAAUUUCAUUUUCUUUAUUUAUGAAGCCCCCUCAGGUUUGUGAGAAUAUAAUCAUAGCAUAGGCAGGUAGGAAGAAAUAUAUGUUCCAAUCCAUUAUGGUUUUCAGGGAAUGUAGAGGGAAAUUACUAUGGCUAUAUCUGACAACAAUACUAGGUUAUUAAGUGAAGAGAGUAUCAAACAGAUUAGAAUUUUUGCACAACUCUAUCUUUUAAAUAAACAAAGUUCAGCAAUGCUUUGAAAUAUGAAUAAACUCUCCUGUAUUCUGAAUUUACAGUAAAUUUUCUAGAAGGUUCUAAGCAUUGACUUUUCUCAUGCAAAUGCCAUGCAAGGUACCUACAAGCAGAGGGACUACAGAUUUCUAUAAAUGAGUUUAAUAUUGUAAUGGCUGUUUAAAGUUAUGAAGAAAUUUAAUGAUAUUAAAGUAAAAGUACUACUUAAAUUAAUUUAGUUAAACUUUAUUAACUGGUACCCACUUCCAUUAAUUUUGUUUUUCCACCAUUCAGACUUAUAUACUAGUUUUCAGAGCCAGCAAAAUGAAGAAAAGAAUAUAGGAACUCUUCACUUUGAUUCUGUGGCAAUGAUCUCAAAAGGCCCAGGGGGAACAAGCAAAUUUAAGGAGGUAAGGGGAGCAAAUUGACUCUCUGGGAACUUUANAAAGUAAGAUGCAUGCAGAUGGGCUUGAAAAAUGGUCCUGUGCUGAAGAGAAGCAAAAUCUUCCCUGGCAACAUUUUCCUUUCCUUUCCAAACAUCUCAAAGAAAUGCCGUGAUAGGAAUUUUGGGAACAAAGUCUAUGAUCUAUGUUUCUUAUCAUAUGCAGAAACCUACUUUAGAAAUCCAAAUGAUAGGCUUGGUGUUAAUCUAAAUUGAGCCUCAGCAAGGGUGUAACCAGAUUACAAAAUUUUAAUUUUAUUUAUUAUUUUGAAUUUUGACAACUCUACAGUGGAUGGGGUCAUUGUUUUGAAAUAUAUUAAAAUCUCCAUUAAGAGAGAUAGAUUUCUUCUGGUUAAAACCCUUUUUUUCCAAUGUUAUUUUAAAGUAAAAAUACUGCGGAAAGUUUAAUACAUUGUUCUCCUAAUAACCAUUGAAAUUGAAGUUGAAUUUAUUUAGUCUUUGCUAGUAACAGAUUCCUAAUUUAGAGAUAAAGGGGUAAUGAUUUUUAAACUAGGAUGAUGAAUUAACCCAGAAGUUCCUUUCCUAGGAGAGAGCCUUAGAACACUAAGUUGCCACAUGGGGGAAAAAAGAUGUCUCUUAAGAGGUUUGGAACAUACUGUUUAUGUUAAUCCUCCUUUGAGAUUAAAGAAGCCUUUGAGAAGUACAUAUUAGAACAGUAAAGCUUUGAGAAACAUAGUUAUCUGUUUCUAGCAAGUUACAAGUUUUUUAUUCAGUUACUCAGUGUAGUCUAUAACACUAAUUAACAUAGUUUGGCAUUAAUGUCCUGAGUAAAUUUUAGGAAAUAGAUGACUAGGACAUGAAUAGUUGUGGAGGAUAUAUUAGCUAUCCACUGCUACGUAACAAACUUUAUAUCCUAGUUUCCAUGGGUCAGGGAUCAAGAAACAGCUUAGCUGGGUUUACUGUUCAGGGUCUCAUAAGGCUGAAAACAAGAGUGGACUAGAACUUGGGUCAUAUCUGCAGCUCAAGAGCCUCUUUGAAUCUUAAGUGUUUGUUGACAUAAUUCAUUUCCUUGUAACUAUAAGACACCAGUGUCUUGCUUUUUCAGGGUGAGCAAGAGAAGAAUCUCUGCUGCUUUGUGACCUCAAGUCCCUCCUUUAAAGCAUUCACCUGAUUAGACUAGGCCCAUCCAGAAUCAACUCCCUUUUGAAGAACUUAAAAAGCUGGUUAGGAACCUUAAAUGUACCUGUAAAAUCUUUUCGCUGUUGCCAUAAUAUGUAAUCUAAUCAUGUGAUGAUGUCCAUUAUAGUAACGGGUCCCACCUACGCUCAUGGGCAGGGGAUUACACAAACACUUGGUACCAGGAGACAGGAAUCAUGGGCCCAUCUGGGGAUCCAGUCUAGUACAUUGGGGAACUUGAAGAAAAGCAAUACCCAGUAUAGAGAGCUCAAAAGAGAGGGAAAAGAAUCAUAAAAGGAUCUGAGACACACUAUUAGCCUAUUUCCCAAAGGCCUACCUAUAGUCAAUGUUCCAAUAGAAAUAAUUAGCAUAUCACAGACCUCAUUCUUCAGACUUCUUCACUUAAAAGACGAAGUAGUUAGUUUUACUAAAAUCACUGGCAAAAUAGAACCAUAUUUCUAUUCAGGUACCUAUUGCUGAAAGUUUAUAGCCAGGGCUAAAAUAAACAUACAAAAUAUUUUCUGGCAUCUUUCCAGAUAUCCUAAGAUAUUAUCAUUCUGGUAUUUUCUUCUAAUAAACAUUUAGGCCCAUUAAGCCAUAAUGCAAAGGAAAAAAAACAUAUUGUUUCAAAUCUGGCCAGUAAUGAAAAAAAAAAAAAUGAUCAUGCUUUUCUUAAGAAAUAGAAAAAUAGAUCAAUUGAUACAUAAUACAAGCCAAAUAGAAUUUGUCAGAAUUAAUUUCUAGUGACUAGAUUCUAGAUUUCAGAAGUCAUAUUUUGUCCAAGUUUAUCUUCACUAAAAGACUAAAUUAUUUUCUGAUUAUAAUGGCUUUUAAAAUAUUUUAACUAUAUCUUGACAAUAAAUAAUCUUUUUUUAAAAUCUGCCUAACUUUUACAUUAUGCUUAAGAGGAAGAAAUAAAAUAAUAGAAAAAGGGAAGACGAAAUAAAAUAUUUUUAUAAUUAACUUUCUUAAAUAACAUUUUUUAAUUUCAAAUACAAAUCACAGAAAAUAACCUAGACUGAUAUCUGUCUUUGUUUUAUUAAGUCAUACAUAAUAUGCUUUUUUAAGUGAAAGUAGAGUCUCAUUCCUGUAUUUACAAUCAUGGUUUUCAGCCUAUUGAUUUAAAAAGUAUUUUGCUUCUCUUUUCAACAGGAAGUAUGAGAUCACUGAUAAAGCUUAAGCCCAUAUGUCUUGAUAGAGCACUGUUCUCUGUAGAAGUUAUUCUCUGUACUUAUUGCAUAUUUUAAAUUAUUUAUAUUUCAGAGGAAAGGGUUAGCUAGGUGAUUUACGUACUAGUGGUAAAACCCCAGUCCACAAAACUAGCUGUACAGAAGACAAGUGAAGUUUACUUCAAAACUGUUAACGGAUAUUUUUGAGAAUUAUAUUAUUGUCUUAACUCUGCAAGUAAGAGUGAAAAACAAAAGUUCCUUUUGGAGAAAUAGAACAACAGAUCCAAGUUUUAAAUCCCACUGGACUAGGACAUAAAUCAGAUAGAAAGAUACAAUUUCAUACAGAGCUGAUUCUCUAUUAGAAAGGGGAUGUGGGCUCUGAGAGGCAUGCACUUAAUUCUGACUUAUGCACACCACAUUUUUUCCAUGGAAUUGUAC
rnacentral:lncRNA from 1 species